GAUUCUAUAGAUGGAAAAUCUAUAAAUUGGUUAUAAUUUUCCAGGUAUAGAAUCCAAGUAUUGGAGGGUUGUCUUGAAUCCCCCACCCCCCACUGCUAUAGCAGGGAAAGCAGGGGUGGAGGAGUCAAGAUGGUCCCUUUGUCCUCUGCCCUACCCACUUCUCCUUGCAGCCUUCCUGCACCCUUUCCUCCCAGUCUCUGCUUCUCACUUCUUUCCCUCCCCACCUUGCACAGUUAGAUGCUGCUUGGGCUGUUCUAUCCUGUCUCCCCCCAGAGCACAGCACAUGGAGCACAAUGGCAGAUCUGGCCAGGGAUCAGACUCCAUUUUCCAGCAGCCCCUGCCCAUGUUGCUAUGACCGGUUUCCAUGGAGACCCCAUCAGCAGCAUUGCCGUGACAGCAUGGGUCCUGGGUUUCCAUGGAGACCGGCCCCAGCAGUGCUGGCAGGGUGCGCAGCUGGGUGGUGAGCUGCUCUGGGGCUACGAUCUUGCAGCAAUGAUAGGGUGGUCCAGAGCCAGGACAGAGCUGUGAUCCAGUGCCUGCAUGCCCCUGCCCAGGGCGUGUGGGCAGCAGGUAGCUCUGCCCCAGCUCUGCGCCACACUGUCACUGCUGCUAGGGUCUCCAUGCUGCAUAGUGACUUCCCUGUACUGUUUCCUACUGUAUAGAUCUGUUUGGGAGAAGUAAAAGGAGAGGUUAGACAUGCAUAACAAUUAGCCUGUUCCAAAUGUGGUUUAAACCCAAAGUGGACAGACUUACCUGCCAAUUAAACCAGUGUAAAGUCAGCAGGCAUGGUUCAAAAGUAUACCUGGAAAAAUCAGGUUUUCUUUUGACCUGUUGGAUUUUGACUUGUUCCAUGUUACGUGCACAUGCCAAGUGUUCUGUGACAUGGCCCUUUGGGCAGCCUACAGUGCAGCACUCUUCACCUCCCCCACACCUGCAAGUGGCUGCUCUGGGACACAGGUUGAACUCUACUGCCCUUAGGGCCAGCAGUUACAUUUGGUCUUUCUCCCCAUUUCAUGUCCCCUACUUGGGAACAAGGGUGGGAACAUUACUGCUGCCAACCCUCCACUGCUCAUGAAGGCACACUCCCAUUCCUUGGGCUGCUGCCUGGCAGCUUGUUGUGGCCAGCAGCUUGCCAUAGCGCUUGCCAUAGUCAGUGACAAUUUCAGCACUGUUUCGAGGAACACCUGCUUCAACCCAUAUCACAGUGUCUGCUCCAGCAUGAUGUCAGGUGCACCAACAGCUGAAGACAGGAAGAUUUGUUCUACCUGCUCACCAUUUGGGACAAAGAAGAAAACUAGUGGGCACUCCAGUCAAGCCACCGCAGUUGGGCCAUGUAUGAUGGCAUUGUUGUGCAGAUGACAGCUUGGGGACCCUGCUAGGACUUGCUGCAGCACAAGGUCAAGACCACGAUCUCCAAGUUGAGUUACAGGAGGGCACGAGAUGCCAGUUGUGUUUCUGGCACCUGUCAGAUCACCACUACAUAUCACGAGGAGCUGCUGUGGACUCUGCUGGGGAAUUACUCCAUUCAGCCCUGUUACACCCUGGUUGUGGCCAACCACAUGCACUCCAGUGCCAGCUAAGAUGAUGAUGAAGAUGGGGAGUCAACCCCUGCCACUGGUCUGCCAUUACCAAGGGACCAGAGAAGCUAAGGUGCACAGCAGGAUUCGCCCACACUACUUUUGGGUAAGGAAAUGGAACCCUACCUCACUCCUGCACGGGACAGCAAGGACAAGAUCAACACAGAGUGGGCCUACUCCAUUCCCUCAGCGUCACCCUAAGACUUGGCAAAGUCUCCCCAGCACACAGCUGCUUAUUGCUUUGCCAUCCCCUUCGCGCUCUGCAGCACAGUCUCAGCUCUCCCAUCCCCACAUACCUGCCACUCACAGGUUGGGAACAUCCUGCUGUUCACCAUGGGAUCUGUUCAGGACAAGAGACCACUCUUCUGCUCCUCUCCGCCAGUCUCCUGGCAGGCAUGGCCAGCACUUACAGC